UAGGGAAUCUUCGGCAAUGGACGAAAGUCUGACCGAGCAACGCCGCGUGAGUGAAGAAGGUUUUCGGAUCGUAAAACUCUGUUGUUAGAGAAGAACAAGGACGUUGGUAACUGAACGUCCCCUGACGGUAUCUAACCAGAAAGCCACGGCUAACUACGUGCCAGCAGCCGCGGUAAUACGUAGGUGGCAAGCGUUGUCCGGAUUUAUUGGGCGUAAAGCGAGCGCAGGCGGUUUCUUAAGUCUGAUGUGAAAGCCCCCGGCUCAACCGGGGAGGGUCAUUGGAAACUGGGGGACUUGAGUGCAGGAGAGGAGAGUGGAAUUCCAUGUGUAGCGGUGAAAUGCGUAGAUAUAUGGAGGAACACCAGUGGCGAAGGCGGCUCUCUGGUCUGUAACUGACGCUGAGGCUCGAAAGCGUGGGGAGCAAACAGG
rnacentral:rRNA from 1 species